rnacentral:rRNA from 1 species
UGGGGAAUCUUGCGCAAUGGGCGAAAGCCUGACGCAGCCAUGCCGCGUGGAUGAUGAAGGUCUUAGGAUUGUAAAAUCCUUUCAGCGGGGACGAUAAUGACGGUACCCGCAGAAGAAGCCCCGGCUAACUUCGUGCCAGCAGCCGCGGUAAUACGAAGGGGGCUAGCGUUGCUCGGAAUUACUGGGCGUAAAGGGCGCGUAGGCGGACAGUUAAGUCGGGGGUGAAAGCCCGGGGGGCUCAACCUCGGAAUUGCCUUCGAUACUGGCUGUCUUGAGUACGGGAGAGGUGUGUGGAACUCCGAGUGUAGAGGUGAAAUUCGUAGAUAUUCGGAAGAACACCAGUGGCGAAGGCGACACACUGGCCCGUUACUGACGCUGAGGCGCGAAAGCGUGGGGAGCAAACAGGAUUAGAUACCCUGGUAGUCCACGCUGUAAACGAUGAGUGCUAGUUGUCGGCAGGCAUGCCUGUCGGUGACGCAGCUAACGCAUUAAGCACUCCGCCUGGGGAGUAC